UGUGUAAUCAUAUUCUGAAUGUGUUACCAUCUUUUAAAUGUAUGAGCAACCCCUGAAUGUGUAACCAACCCCUGAAUGUGUAACCAUAUUCUGAAUGUGUAACCAUAUUCCGAAUGUGUAACCAACCCCUGAAUGUAUAACCAACUCCUGGAUUUGAAACCAACUCCUGCAUAUGAAUAUGUAACCAUCUUCCGAAUGUGUAACCAACUCCUAAAUGUGUAACCAUCUUCUGAAUGUGUAACCAACCCCUGAAUAUGUAACUAAACCCUCAAUGUGUAAGCAUCUUCUGAAUGUGUAACCAACUCCUGAAUGUGUAAUCAACUCUUGAAUGUGUAACCAUCUCUUGAAUAUGUAACCAACUCCUGAAUGUGCAACCAAUGUGUAAUCAACUCAUGAAUGUGUUGCCGACUCCUGAAUAUGUAACUAAACCCUCAAUGUGUAACCAUCUUCUGAAUGUGUAACCAACUCCUGAAUGUGUAAUCAACUCUUGAAUGAGUAACCGUCUUCUGAAUGUGUAACCAACCCCUGAAUAUGUAACUAAACCCUCAAUGUGUAACCAUCUUCUGAAUGUGUAACCAACUCCUGAAUGUGUAAUCAACUCUUAAAUGUGUAAUCAACUCUUGAAUGUGUAACCAACUCCUGAAUGUGCUACCAAUGUGUAAUCAACUCAUGAAUGUGUUGCCAACUCCUGAAUAUGUAACCAUCUUUUGAAUGCGCAACCAUCUUCCGAAUGUGUAAUCAUCUUAUGAAUUUGUAACCAUCUUCUAAAUGUGUGACGAAUCCCUGAAUGUGUAAUCAUCUUCUGAAUGUGUAACCAAUUUCUAAAUGUGUAAGCAUCUUCUGAUUAUGUGACCAACCCCUAAAUGUGUAAUCACCCCCUGAAUUUGUAACCAACUCAUGAAUAUGUAAACAUCUUCUGAAUGCGUAACCAUCUCCGGAAAGUGUACCCAACUCCUGAAUGUGUUACCAUCUUCUGAAUGUGUGACCAACCCCUGAAUGUGUAAUCAACUCAUGAAUAUGUAACCAUCUUCUGAAUGUGUAAUCAUAUUCUGAAUGUGUCACCAUCUUUUAAAUGUAUGAGCAACCCCUGAAUGUGCAACCAACCCCUGAAUAUGUAACCAUAUUCCGAAUGUGUAACCAACCCCUGAAUGUGUAACCAACCCCUGAAUAUGAAACUAACCCUUCAAUGUGUAACCAAAUCCUGAAUGUGUAACCAGCCCCUGAAUAUGUAACUAACUCCUGAAUGUGUAAGCAUCUUCUUAAUGUGUAGCCAACUCCUGAAUGUGUAAUCAACUCCUGAAUGUGUAACCACCUCUUGAAUAUGUAACCAACUCCUGAAUGUGCAACCAAUGUGUAAUCAACUCAUGAAUGUGUUGCCAACUCCUGAAUAUGUAACUAAACCCUCAAUGUGUAACCAUCUUCUGAAUGUGUAACCAACUCCUGAAUGUGUAAUCAACUCUUGAAUGAGUAACCAUCUUCUGAAAGUGUUACGAUCUUCUGAAUGUGUAACCAUCUUCUGAACAUGUAACCAUCUUCUGAAUAUGCGACCAUUUUCUGAAUGUAUAACCAGCUCCUGAAAGUGCAACCAACUCCUGAAUGUGUAAACAAUAUUCUGAAUGUGUAAUCACCCCCUGAAUGUGUAACCAUCUUAACGUGUAACCAUCUCCUGAAUGUGUAAUUAUCUUCUGAAUGUGUAAUCACCCCCUGAAUAUAUAACUCCUGAAUGUGUCACCAUCUUUUGAAUGUGUAUUCAUCUUUUGAAUGUGUAACCAUCUUCUGAAUGUGUAACCAUCUUCUGAAUAAAUAAACAGCUCAUGAAAGUGCAACCUACUCCCGAAUGUGUAACAAUCUUCUGAAUGUGUAACAAUCUUCUGAAUGUGUAACCAUCUUCUGAACAUGUAAACAUCUUCUGAAUAUGUAACCAUCUUCUGAAUGUAUACCAGCUCCCGAAAGUGCAACUAACUCCUGAAUAUGUGAGCAUCUUCUGAAUGUGUAACCAUCUUCUGAACAUGUAACCCUCUUCUGAAUAUGUAACCAUCUUCUAAAUGUAUACCAGGUCAUGAAAGUGCAACUAACUCCUGAAUGUGUGAUCAUCUUCUGAAUGUGUAAUCGUAUUCUAAAUAUGUAACCAUCUUCUGAAUGUGUAACAACUCCUGAAUGUGAAACCAUCUUCUGAAUAUGUCACCAUCUUCUGAAUAAGUAAACAGCUCCUGAAUGUGUAACAAGCUUGUGAAUGUGUAACAAUCUUCUAAAUGUGUACUAUCUUCUGAACAUGUAACCAUCUUCUGAAUAUGUAACAAUCUUCUGAAUGUAUAUCAGCUCCUGAAAGUGCAACCAACUCCUGAAUGUGAAACCAUUUCCUCAAUGUGUAAAAAUCUUCUGAAUGUGUCACCAUCUUUUAAAUGUAUCAGCAACCCCUGAAUGUGUACCCAACCCCUGAAUAUGUAACCAUAUUCCGAAUGUGUAGCCAACUCCUAAAUGUGUAACCCUCUUCUGAAUGUGUAACCAUCUUCUGAAUGUGUAACCAUCUUCUGAAUAAAUAAACAGCUCAUGAAAGUGCAACCUACUCCCGAAUGUGUAACAAUCUUCUGAAUGUGUAACAAUCUUCUGAAUGUGUAACCAUCUUUUGAACAUGUAAACAUCUUCUGAAUAUGUAACCAUCUUCUGAAUGUAUACCAGCUCCCGAAAGUGCAACUAACUCCUGAAUAUGUGACCAUCUUCUGAAUGUGUAACCAUCUUCUGAACAUGUAACCCUCUUCUGAAUAUGUAACCAUCUUCUAAAUGUAUACCAGGUCAUGAAAGUGCAACUAACUCCUGAAUGUGUGAUCAUCUUCUGAAUGUGUAAUCGUAUUCUAAAUAUGUAACCAUCUUCUGAAUGUGUAACAACUCCUGAAUGUGAAACCAUCUUCUGAAUAUGUCACCAUCUUCUGAAUAAGUAAACAGCUCCUGAAUGUGUAACAAGCUUGUGAAUGUGUAACAAUCUUCUAAAUGUGUACUAUCUUCUGAACAUGUAACCAUCUUCUGAAUAUGUAACAGUCUUCUGAAUGUAUAUCAGCUCCUGAAAGUGCAACCAACUCCUGAAUGUGAAACCAUCUUCUCAAUGUGUAAAAAUCUUCUGAAUGUGUCACCAUCUUUUAAAUGUAUCAGCAACCCCUGAAUGUGUACCCAACCCCUGAAUAUGUAACCAUAUUCCGAAUGUGUAGCCAACUCCUAAAUGUGUAACCAUCUUCUGAAUGUGUAACCAACUCCUGAAUAUGAAAGCAACUCCUGCAUAUGAAUAUGUAACCAUCUUCCGAAUGUGUAGCCAACUCCUAAAUGUGUAACCAUCUUCUGAAUGUGUAACCAAUUCCUGAAUGUGUAAACAUCUUCUAAAAGUGUUACCAUCUUCUGAAUGUGUGACCAAACUCCUGAAUGUGUCACCAACUCAUGAAUAUGUAACUCAUGAAUAUGUAACGAUCUUCUGAAUGUGUAAUCAUAUUCUGAAUGUGUUACCAUCUUUUAAAUGUAUGAGCAACCCCUGAAUGUGUAACCAACCCCUGAAUGUGUAACCAUAUUCUGAAUGUGUAACCAACUCCUGGAUUUGAAACCAACUCCUGCAUAUGAAUAUGUAACCAUCUUCCGAAUGUGUAACCAACUCCUAAAUGUGUAACCAUCUUCUGAAUGUGUAACCAGCCCCUGAAUAUGUAACUAAACCCUCAAUGUGUAACCAUCUUCUGAAUGUGUAACCAUCUUCUGAAUGUGUAGUCAACACCUGAAUGUGUAACCAUCUCCUGAAUGUGUAACCAUCUUCUGAAUGUGUAACCAUCCUUUUGAAUAUGUAACCAACUCCUGAAUGUGCUACCAAUGUGUAAUCAACUCAUGAAUGUGUUGCCAACUCCUGAAUAUGUAACCAUCUUUUGAAUGCGCAACCACCUUCCGAAUGUGUAAUCAUCUUCUGAAUUUGUAACCAACUCAUGAAUAUGUAACCAUCUUCUGAAUUUGUCAAGAUCUUCUGAAUGCGUAACCAUCUCCGGAAUAUGUACCCAACUCCUGAAUGUGUUACCAUCUUCUGAAUGUGUGACCAACCCCUGAAUGUGUAAUCAACUCAUGAAUAUGUAACCAUCUUCUGAAUGUGUAAUCAUAUUCUGAGUGUAUCACCAUCUUUUAAAUGUAUGAGCAACCCCUGAAUGUGCAACCAACCCCUGAAUAUGUUACCAUAUUCCGAAUGUGUAACCAUAUUCCGAAUGUGUAACCAACCCCUGAAUGUGUAACCAACUCCUGAACAUGAAACCAACUCCUGCAUAUGAAUAUGUGACCAUCUUCCGAAUGUGUAACCAACUCCUAAAUGUGUAACCAUCUUCUGAAUGUGUAACCAACCUCUGAAUAAGAAACUAACCCUUCAAUGGGUAACCAAAUCCUGAAUGUGUAACCAACCCCUGAAUAUGUAACUAACUCCUGAAUGUGCAACCAAUGUGUAAUCAACUCAUGAAUGUGUUGCCAACUCCUGAAUAUGUAACCAUCUUUUGAAUGCGCAACCAUCUUCCGAAUGUGUAAUCAUCUUCUGAAUUUGUAACCAUCUUCUGAAUGUGUAAUGAUCUUCUGAAUGUGUAACCAAUUCCUAAAUGUGUAAGCAUUUUCUGAUUAUGUGACCAACCCCUAAAUGUGUAAUCACCCCCUGAAUUUGUAACCAACUCAUGAAUAUGUAACCAUCCUCUGAAUGUGUCAAGAUCUUCUAUAUGUGUAACCAUCUCCGGAAUGUGUAUCCAGCUCCUGAAUGUGUAAUCAUCUUCUGAAUGUGUAACCAAUUCCUGAAUGUGUAAACAUCUUCUAAAAGUGUUACCAUCUUCUGAAUGUGUGACCAAUCCCUGAAUGUGUCACCAACUCAUGAAUAUGUAACCAUCUUCUGAAUGUGUAAUCAUCUUUUAAAUGUAUGAGCAACCCCUGAAUGUGUAACCAACCCCUGAAUAUGUAACCAUAUUCUGAAUGUGUAACCAUAUUCCGAAUGUGUAACCAACCCCUGAAUGUAUAACCAACUCCUGGAUUUGAAACCAACUCCUGCAUAUGAAUAUGUAAUCAUCUUCCGAAUGUGUAACCAACUCCUAAAUGUGUAACCAUCUUCUGAAUGUGUAACCAGCCCCUGAAUAUGUAACUAAACCCACACUGUGUAACCUUCUUCUGAACAUGUAACCAUCUUCUGAAUAUGUAACCAUCUUCUGAAUGUAUACCAGGUCAUGAAAUUGCAACUAACUCCUGAAUGUGUGAUCAUCUUCUGAAUGUGUAACCGCAUUCUAAAUAUGUCACCAUCUUCUGAAUGUGUAACAACUCCUGAAUGUGAAACCAUCUUCUGAAUAUGUCACCAUCUUCUGAACAUGUAACCAUCUUCUGAAUAUGUAACAAUCUUCUGAAUGUAUAUCAGCUUCUGAAAGUGCAACCAACUCCUGAAUGUGAAACCAUCUUCUCAAUGUGUAAAAAUCUUCUGAAUGUGUCACCAUCUUUUAAAUAUAUCAGCAACCCCUGAAUGUGUACCCAACCCCUGAAUGUGUAACCAUAUUCCGAAUGUGUAGCCAACUCCUAAAUGUGUAACCAUCUUCUGAAUAUGUAACCAACUCCUGAAUAUGAAAGCAACUCCUGCAUAUGAAUAUGUAACCAUCUUCCGAAUGUGUAGCCAACUCCUAAAUGUGUAACCAUCUUCUGAAUGUGUAACCAAUUCCUGAAUGUGUAAACAUCUUCUAAAAGUGUUACCAUCUUCUGAAUGUGUGACCAAACUCCUGAAUGUGUAACCAACUCAUGAAUAUGUAACUCAUGAAUAUCUAACGAUCUUCUGAAUGUGUUACCAUCUUUUAAAUGUAUGAGCAACCACUGAAUGUGUAACCAACCCCUGAAUGAAUAACCAACUCCUGGAUUUGAAACCAACUCCUGCAUAUGAAUAUGUAACCAUCUUCCGAAUGUGUAACCAACUCCUAAAUGUGUAACCAUCUUCUGAAUGUGUAACCAACCCCUGAAUAUGUAACUAAACCCUCAAUGUGUAACCAUCUUCUGAAUGUGUAACCAACUCCUGAAUGUGUAGUCAACUCCUGAAUGUGUAACCAUUUCCUGAAUGUGUAACCAUCUUCUGAAU